rnacentral:rRNA from 1 species
UACGUAGGGGGCAAGCGUUGUCCGGAAUCAUUGGGCGUAAAGAGCGUGUAGGCGGCCCGGUAAGUCCGCUGUGAAAGUCCAGGGCUCAACCCCGGGACUGCGUCCGAUACUCUCGAGCUGGAGGCAGGUAGGGGAGAUCGGAAUUCCUGGUGUAGCGGUGAAAUGCGCAGAUAUCAGGAGGAACACCGGUGGCGAAGGCGGAUCUCUGGGCCUUGCCUGACGCUGAGGCGCGAAAAGCUAGGGGGAGCGAACAGG